AACAGUAUUAAUAAUCUCCACAAAGUUUCAGCCUUUAGCUACCUAAAGCCUUGUAAUAAAAGUAUAGUUUAACUUAAAAUCAGAAUCUGUAACCAUAAAGCAAAAGCAAAGGGAAAAACAAUAAGCAGAAUAUUUAUAAUAUAACAACAUG